GUUACACAAUCUAUUGUGGCAGCAGGGUUAUUUUCCUUUCAAAUCUGCCUAAAGACCUUCUCUUGCUACCACCAGAGCUUUUUAUUUUAUUUUAGCUCCACAGAGUUUCUAAGUAUAGUGACAGCCACAUCAGGCUUAACUAGUAGCAGUGCAAGCUCAGUGCAAAUCUGGGAAAUAUAAGUGGAAACAUGAGAGACUGCUUUAUUUGGCAUUGCUAAAAAAAUAUCAGGACAAAUGGCUAAGCAGUGUGGGGACAGCAGGAUGAAUAAUCAAUGAGCAGAGAGCAAGAUAGAGACUCCCUCAGAUUCUGGAUCGACAAUCAACAGCUGAGAGACUAUUUUUUGCAAUGGUUGACUAAAUAUGGUCAGGGAAGAGAGAGGCACAAGAGAGCCUGUUUGCCUGGGAGUGCAUGUUUCGAAUGCUUAGCUGCCUAUAAAGCUGUAACAGUUUUGCUCAUGCCCUCUGAGUAGGAAAUACAGUUAGUUUCUUCUACAGUCUCCAUGUGGGAGCCCUGACCUCACUAACAGACUUGACCUCUGGAGAUGGAAAGUAGCUUCAACACAGAUCUGCCUACAGUUAAGCCUGGAAACUUAACCUCAAGCAAGAACAGAUGCAGUGCAAUACUUAAGGAGCAGAAAGAAAUCUUUAUUUUUGGUCACUCCAACUUUUUCUCUGAUUAUUAUCAUCUUACAGUGGGCUGAGUUUACCUUCCCAGAGAUUCCUAACAUCUUUCCUUGGACACUUAAUUUUUAGCCCACAAGACACAAGGUAUUAAUUUCUACGCAACAUCAUCCAUAUUUUAAUCAUUCCAAGAAAAGUAGCAGCACCAAGAUGCUAAAUGCAAAAUUAUACCAGCAUGGAAAUCUGGCAGAAGACUCAAAGAAAACUGAACUUCUUAUGGUGGACUACAAUUAUCCACUUCACUGAAGUACUUUGCAAAGCCACUCCUCAAUGACAUGUCUAUCUUCAAAGAUGGCCAAUCAGAAUGAACACCAAGAGACAACAAAAAUCUGGACAAGUGCAUCAAACGUCCAUGUCAUCACAGAACAUGAAACUGUAAUAUGCUUUAAGUCACUUUGCAGGUAAAUUGCAUUGUAAAGUUCAGUCUUAGUAAAAAAGUUAGUUUAUAAUAAUUUUAUUGUAAGAUUGUUCUUUAAAAAAAAUGACAAUAUGCAUUUGCAUCUUCUAACAAGGAAAGGAAUGAAAAAGUAAAAUACUUUCAGAUUCAUUUGACAGACAGCUGAUCAACUUAUGUAUUCCUGCCCAGAUUACAUACUUCUUUAUGUACCCAUAUGAACAUACAAUGCUAUGGAAUGUAAAGAAGUAUGUAUUUUUGGCAGGCACUGAACGACCUGUAAGAGGAAACUAAACUGCAGCGGAAGAAACAGGUCUCCUAUUGUUUGAAUGACUUUCAUGUGGCAAAUUAACUUGGGAAGGGUCAGAUGACACUGCCAAAGUAAAAUGACUUAUUGCUAAUGAAUCAUGAAAUAUUAUCCCAAGUCACUUACUUAGAGGGUGGAUAGAGAAAGUUCCGUUACUGGUUGUAGAUAAGUUUUGAGCAAAAUUUUAAUAAUUUCAAAAUAUACAUAUGGAAAUGCAAAUAGUCACACUAGAACACACUGCAUAAAAUCUACAGAGUAUUUACAAAACUGGAUUAUCAAUCUUAUUCAUAAUAUUUAAACUCUAACUUUCUAAUUAGAAAUGAAGCAUGUAAUUUAAAAAAAAAUCUUAAGUGUGCAGACCAUGCACUGAUUCCAAAAUAAAGUUUGCCUAAUAAUCCACAGAAACCGAGUCUAGUAGUAAUUAACAAUGUAAGAAAAUACUUGGAAGUUAGCCUUUGACUUAGAAAGCAGAGAAGAAAUAGGUUGUCAAAAUAAAUGUAAACUAUCAUAUACAAAAUCUUACAUUUUAGAGAUAAAGUUGUCUUUCUGCAAAUCAACCUUUAUUAAACUCAUUAAAAGCUUGGAUGGAAUAAAUUGCCGUGUCAGGUUCAUGCACGUAAAAGUAACAAUGCAGAGAUUUCUAGGCCAAAGCUGCCAUUCAACAGAUUAUGGCUAAUGACAGAUUCCAAAAUGAAAAUGCAGCAAUGACAGAACACAGGAUUUCUACAUUUUUCUGAAAAAUGUACUCUAAUUUUAACAAAACUUUCUAAGAAAUUCUGAAUGACAUAUGAAAUUAUCACCUAAAAUUUCAAUUUUCAAUUAUGAAACCUCUCUAUGUUUGGUAAACUACUCAAAAGUUUACCAAGUGGUAUGUAAUUUAUUUAUUUCUAAAAUUAAUGUUAACUAAAAUACACCAUCACGUUCAGACUCUGACUAAAAUAACUUACAACAAAAAAAUCUUAAUUAAUGAAUGCAUCUACUCAUUUAGGUAUAGCAAUUACGGGAAACUACACAUAGUAAUUAUUGCAUAUGAUAUAUUUGCCAUACAGGUACAAAUGACCCAGAUUAAAGAAUAAAGACUCUGAGUACAGUCAGUUUAGUAUUUUUAAAAUUCUGGGAUCGUUUCUUGUGUGAGGAAAGGAAACUCUCAAAUGUAAGAGACCCAACGAUAAUUAUGCCUUCAAAAACAUUAGUAUAUUGGGAUAAGUAUGUAAUUUUUCAACAGACAUAUUUUAAUUUCCACAAAAUACAAAAUAUUAGGUUUCAAACUUUUUUUAAAAAGUGUAUUUAGCUGGAACUGUAGAAUUAAGAGUUAGGCAAAAAGGAAUCAAACUAUUGUAAUUGUGUUCAUGAGGAGACAAUUGCUGUCUUUUUAAUUUAACUUUUAAUAAAUUAGCCUGAAAGUUAUUUUCCACGUGAUCAAAUACCUUGGAAUACACAUGUAUAAAACUCCAACCUCUAAAUUACAAGCUGGUUUAUAAUGGAAAAAAGCUAAAUGAUAGCAAUUCUACUGGGUUUCAUAAUGUUGUUUAGCUUCUAGGCUUGUAAUGGACGGAUCUGUGGACAGAGAGCCAAAUUCACUACUGGAGUAAAUGGUUCAUUUGCUUCUCAGAAGCUUUCCUUCUCAUGUCAGCAAUUGGUUUGAUCUUUAAUCUACAUAUUGGACUAAUUUUAUUAAGGAACAAGCUUAUUUUGACAGGUUCUUUAUAACAAGUCACUAAUGCUGAAUCCACUAUGCCACAAUAACACAGCAAUUCAACUAUAAAACAAAAUGAAAGAUCUCAAAGAGAUAUAAAAGUUAAAAUUAUAUAUUGACACUGCUUCUUGCUAGCUCAUGUUAACAUAUCUCUAAGAAUACACUCAGUCACUCUAAAAUGUCACCUCCAACACUUAGAUCAGCUGUUCAAUUUUAACUGAGCACAUGCUGAACUCUGGGCAUCUGCUGACACUGUUGUAACUCAAAUAUUUCAACUGUGUGACUGACAGGGAUAACAGAUGCUGACAUUAUCAAAUGCUACACUGCUGUUUUCCAUGGCCCCUUUUUUUGCCCCGAUAUGGCCAGUACAUGAAACAGUAUUGCAAUCCAAAAGCAUACUUGAGCAGCUGGAUCUGUUAAACAGCUCCUGUGUAACUGGUAAAAAUAGAAGCCACUUUCAUAGCUGUCUUUAAUGCUUAAGUUCAAAUGACACACCUGCUAUGUUUCUAUUAGGAUAGAUGGUAUAAAGAAUAUAUUUACAUAAAUUUCAUCAGCAGAUUUCACAACAAACAGAUGAAGACAACACCUGAGAGGAGAAUUAUUAGUGCAUGGUUUGAACUAAUGUCUACCUGGCAAAGCUUUUAAAAAAAAGUCUGAGGUCUUCAAAUGCAGUAUUUGUAUGUUUAGUGAUCUACUGCAGUUUACAAGCACAAACUGCCUUUAAGAAAAUGCAUGAAAUAUAAGCACGUUUAACUUUACUCAUAAAAGAUAUAUUGUGUGUUAAGGAACCAUCACACUAAAAGGGCUCAGCAACAUUACUUUCAAUAAAGAACAUUCGAAAUUGCUCACGUUGAGUGUUUGAACAAAAAGAGAAAACGUAUAAACAAAAAAAUUCCCUCAUACUAUAAUGAAAUAUACGUAAAUUCUUACAGCGUACACUAAUUAGGAAUGUACUGAAAAAGAAUGAAAAGUACUUAACAUUUAUAAGAGAAAGGCUAAGAUACUCUUCUUUCCACAACCUAGUCUGUUACUUGUGCUAAUCAACUAUUGUACUAAAGCAGCAAUAAGAUACAAGCAGGGAGGGGGCGGGGAGAAGGAGGAAGGAAGUGUUGCUUUCUUCAAUGCAAUUCAAUGUAAUGAGUAAGAGGAAUAAAUGUGAGUAGUUCAAAACAAAACUCCAAAAUACUAUUCCAAAAUUAAACAAAAGGAAAAAUGUUUAAAAUUGCAUCUGACCUUUGACAUAAGCCUAGUUUACAGUUACAAACUGUACAUAAAAAAAGAUUCUAAGAGAGUAUAGAUUGGUAUAUCAUAUAAUGCAUUCUUGGGUAAAUCUUUCCUUUCUACCCUCCCUCCAAACAAAAAUGACUUAAAAGUUAAAUCUUCAAUUGCUUUAAAACUUAAAAGCAGUGUCAAUACGUGUAAUGUUUGUAACUGAAAAAUCUAUAUGUAUGUGUACAGUAAAACUCAGCUGUUUUGUUAUAAAAAUUAAUCAACUUCCUGCACUCCAAUGCUUUGCUAAAGCUGGUAAAAUGGAACCAAAUCACCUCUUCAAUGGAUUUGGUCCCCUUCAACCAGCUGUAGCUAUGCAUUGAUCACUACAGGACAGCAAAUAUUUUCAGCAAUGGAUUUAACACUUGUAUAAUAGCAACUUUGCUUCAACUAUUCUGGACGAAUUAAGUACACUCACAUUGUCAACAGUGAAAGUAUGGCAUACAGUUAUACUUCAAGAUGUUCCAGAGGCUGUAUUUGUAGAUAAACAAUUACCUGUGUUUCACUUUCUGUUCUUAUUUUGUAAAAGUUAUGCCAAUGAUAAUUUCUACAAAAAAAAUUAGGCUUUCAAAUAAAUUGAUUGUUCACUGA